CUGAACUUUCAUCGCGAAGACUAGUGAUUGAUAUAUGGUCGCUGAAAUAGUCGAAUCAAUUAUUUUAAAAAUACGUACAUUAACAUUAAAUUAGUGACGAAUCAACAAGUUUGAAAAUUAACAUUUUUAUGAAUUUAAAUUAUAUAAUUUAUAACUUAACAUUAAAUUUUCAUAAUAAUUUCCUUAAUAUAAAAGAUUAAAUAUCAACAUCCCAUCUAUUUAAAGUCUCUUUUACUCCUUUCUCCUCACCUCUAUCUUUCUCAUCAUUCUUUUUCCUCUAUAUAUAUUCCCCUAAACACAAAGCCAUCAUACAUGUCGAGAGUGCAUGCUUCUAGUUCUAGUCAUUAUCUAAAUAUGAGGAAUGGGAAUGGAAGCACGAGUUGUUGUUUUUGGGAUAGGGUAACUUGCAACGAGUACAUAGAUGGCCUAAUUAGCCUCGAAUGAAGCUAUGAUCUUGGAGGACCAUGAUUUGUGGUGAUCAAAAGAUCAAGAAAUGUUAAACAAGAGAGGUGAGAUUAGUGGGUAAACAGAAUAUACGUACGUCAUAUAUAACUAUGAAAGGGUCUUUCUUCUUUUUCGUAAGAGUGUGAUUUUAUGGAAGAUUGUAAAUACUAACUAUGAAGUUUGGUUGUAUGGAUGAUAUGAUACGUUUGAGCUUACCACAACUCAGGUCGAUACUGAUUGCAAUCUUAGUGGACUAGUUGCAAGUGACUCCAUCCCAUGAACAAUAAUUUGAAUUUGUGCCCCUGAUCAGUCAUAUUCGAUUAAUCUUACUACAUUAUUUGGAUCCAAAGUCUUGUUAAGAUUUAUGGAGUCAUGAACAAAUUGACAAGUUCCUAAGAGUUUAAGGACCAUAAAUGUAACUUAGCAAUGAAUUGAAUUAUUGGAAGAAUCGUCACUGUUACCAACUCCAUGUGCAGAAGUAAAUUUUGUUUCCGCCUCAACAAGCAACACGAAAUGCAUGUUAAAUUAUUUCAACUGUGCAUAUUUUCGAGGAGGAAAUUUUCUUUCUUUUGCAGACAAUUUACAAAGGUAAAAUAGUGGGUAUUCACUUUCACAUUAGAGUGAAUUAUUGUUACGGCUCACAAUAUAUAUAUACUGGCCGUUCCAAACAUAUUGUGGGCUUAGGGUGAAAAAAAAAAAUAGGCCCUUAAAAAAAUACAAAUGUCAUCAAGUUUUUUUAUAAUAAAUCAAUAAUUAAAAGAAAAUUAUUUGUACUAUCUUCUAAAUAUAACAAUUUCCAUAAAAAAUUUGGAUCCCUUUAAAAGAUGGACCUUCGACGGUCGCUCAUAUUGUUCACCCUCUGGGACGGGCCUGUAUAUAUAUAAAUAUGUGUGUUGUAAGUAGAAACAUUACAGAGCACAACACAACGAGCAUAGAUACACAGAAAAGAAAUAGUGAUGUUGUAUUUUUGUUGAGUCUUAUUUUCGGUAGUCAAAAAUACAAGUGGUGCCUUAUAGUGAGUGAUCAUAUUACAAGUGCAGUUUUAGCCUUAUAUUAUUGUAAUUUUCUUUAGUGCUAAAUAAAAUCUCCUCUCUCGUUCGCCCA